CCUACGGGGGGCAGCAGUGGGGGAUAUUGCACAAUGGGGGGAACCCUGAUGCAGCGACGCCGCGUGGGUGAAGAAGCGCCUCGUCGCGUAAAGCCCUCUCAGCAGGGAAGAAAAUGACGGUACCUGAAGAAGAAGCCCCGGCUAACUACGUGCCAGCAGCCGCGGUAAUACGUAGGGAGCAAGCGUUAUCCGGAAUUAUUGGGUGUAAAGGGUGCGUAGACGGGAUGUCAAGUUAGUUGUGAAAUACCUCGGCUCAACUGAGGAACUGCAACUAAAACUAACAUUCUUGAGUGCAGGAGAGGAAA
rnacentral:rRNA from 1 species